CCUACGGGCGGCAGCAGUGAGGAAUAUUGGUCAAUGGACGGAAGUCUGAACCAGCCAUGCCGCGUGCAGGAAGACGGCCCUAUGAGUUGUAAACUGCUUUUGUACAAGGGUAAACCUGAGUACGUGUAUUCAGCUGAAAGUACUGUACGAAUAAGGAUCGGCUAACUCCGUGCCAGCAGCCGCGGUAAUACGGAGGAUCCAAGCGUUAUCCGGAUUUAUUGGGUUUAAAGGGUGCGUAGGCGGGUUGUUAAGUUAGUGGUGAAAUGUCCGGGCUUAACCCGGAAACUGCCUCUAAUACUGGUGAUCUAGAGAGUAGGUGCGGUAGGCGGAAUGUAUGGUGUAGCGGUGAAAUGCUUAGAGAUCACACAGAACCCCGAUUGCGAAGGCAGCUUACCAAUCUAUAUCUGACGUUGAGGCACGAAAGCGUGGGGAGCAAACAGGAUUAGAUACCCGAGUAGUC
rnacentral:rRNA from 1 species